GCAUUAGUAGCUCAGCGCUAGAGCGCCAGUCUUGUAAACUGGAUGCCGGGGGUUAGAGUCCCCCCUACUGCU
rnacentral:tRNA from 1 species